GGGUGCUUAAUGAUUUGUCAUACAGUUUGAUGUUUUUAUUCUAUUAGGGAUAUUUUAGAGUUAUUUAUUUAUUUAUUUUCCCUUUUAGUGCUAUGUAUUGGGCCAUGUUGUUGUAAUAAAAAGUCUACUUUUUGAAAGUUACGUGGCAGCCAGUUAUCAAGUAGCUCCUGCACGUGAGACUUAUUAUGCGUGUGCUGUAACCAUAUGUAUAUGUUUUGCAUCUAUAAGUAAUCUCAUUUGUAUUAAUUUUGUUUGCACCAUGCAUAUUGCAUAAUAUAUUGAAAACAGAAGCCUAAAACUCAAAAAUCUCAUGCCUUAAAUUGAGGAUUGCACCUCUCUACAUAGG
rnacentral:misc_RNA from 1 species